CGGAACCCACCUGUCUCUGUGUCUCUCCCACCCCACCCCGGUGCUGGGGUUAUAGCCAGACACAGCUUUUUACCUGGGUGCCAUGGAUUUGAACUCAAGUCCUCAUGUUUAUUCACUCAGCACAUGGCUCGAAACCCAGACAACUUAUAAAGAAAUAAAGAGACUCCACUGUCCAGUAACAUUCAAGAGCAGACCUGCAGUGGCCUCCUCAGCAGAGAAUCAGGAGGUGUGGGAGAGGGGCCGGUGCUAAGGAGCCCUGCAGAAGGUUCCCAACUUCCUGGAGGGUGUCCCAGCUCCCAGAGUUCUGCUUUUUGGCAUCUGGUUCUCAGCUAGAUCUACCUUUGUGGGUAACAGCACCUCACCCAUCACUAUUUCUGAAUCGCUGAGUUGUUUUCUGCUGCCUUUGGGAUGCCAGUUUCCACUCUGCUGGCACCGAGGAAGAACAGAAGGGCAGCCCCAUCCAUUAGACUGUUGAGGGGAGUGGGGGUGUUGACAACUUCCCCCACAUCUCAAGACCCGCUUAACUGCUUUGGGGUGUAUUCACUGAGGACACAGAGGAAACAGCCGCGGACAAGAGGGUCUGGGCACGCAGCUCAGUUGGUAGAGGUCUUGCCUGGCAUGCAGAAGGCCCUGGGUUUGAGCCCCAGAUCUCAUCAACCAGGGAUGAUGGCACAAGACUAAUCCUAGCACUCAGGAGGUGGUAGAGACAGGAAGCUCAGAAGUUGGAGGUCAUCUUUGGGCACAUAGCAAGCAACAAAUUCAGGUCUAGCCUGAGACUGAGGAAGGGCAGGUGUGGAAAUGGUAGGACGGCUCAGCUGGGAAGGGUACUUUCUGCCCAUGCCUGAGACCUGACUCAUUGACCUCCAUACAAGGUCCAUGGUGUGUGCGUGUGUGUGUGUGUGUGUGUGUGUGUGUGUGUGUGUCUGUCCACACACACGAGUGUGCACACACACACACACACAGGAGCAAAGGGAAUGGCCUGGAAGCUCCUGCAACCUUGGUAGAUGAGGAUAUCAUGUUCUUCCUAAAGCAAGGGAUUUUCUCCUGGAGCAUCUGUCUUCUCUCUCUGGGCCCUCCAUCAGUCUCUCAUGUCAGCCCCUCCCCCAUUUCCCUUUGGCUGGGUCAUCUGGCUUCUUCUUAGCUUUCAAGCUGUGUGUACACAUCUGGAGAGCACCCCUGGUUACUACUCCCCAGCAACACACUGUGCCUUCUUGCAGGGUCUGGCAAGAAAAGCUCCAGAAGGGCUGCUUGAUUGGCAGCAUGCUGUCUUUGCUCAGCUCCAAUGGAGGAGUUGGGCUCAGUCUACUUGGAUUUGAAAAAAACUUUGUCUAUGCUGGACCAGUGGUGGCCAGUGAUGGUGCACACCUUUAAUCCCAGCACUCAGGAGGCAGAGGCAGGCGGAUCUCUGUGAGUUCGAGGCCAGUCUGGACUACAGAGCAAAUUCCAGGACAGCCAUGGCUGUUACACAGAGAAACCCCAUCUGGAAAACCAAAAAGUUUUGUCUAUUUAUUGAUUCAGACAUGGCUUCACUCUGUAGCCCUGUCUGACCCCUAAUUUCUGUUGUCCCCCUGCCUCUGUCUUUCCAGGAUCACAAGCCACCGCACCCAGCUUGCAAUUGACUGACUGAAUGAUUCAUUUACUUAUUUCUAGUGUGGAGGUCCUGAGUUCAAUUCCCAGCAACCACAUGGCAGCUAACAACUGUCUGUACUCAGUUCCAGAGAACCUGACACCUAUGGCAAAACACCAAUCAAUAAACAUAAAAUAAGUAAAUUUUAAAAAUCUGAAUAAAUGGUUGAGCUAUCUUAAUAUUUAUUUUACACAAGUGACAUCAAAAUAAGUAAAUCUUUGGGCUGAAGUUACAUGCAGUUGUGAGCUGCCAUGGGGUUGCUGUGAACUGAAGCUGGGUCCUUUGCAAGAGUAGUCAGUGCUUUUAAAUCCUGACCAUGUCUACAACCCCCAGAUUUUACUUUUUAGUUAUGUGUGGUGGUGUAUAUGCACGUGGAUGCAGUGCUCUUAGCGGCCAGAAGAGGGCAGUAAGUACCCCAGAGCCACAGCAGUAGUGAGCCACUGUGGAUGCCAGGAAACAAAUUUGGAUCCUCUGCAAGAGCAUCACAAGCUCUUCACUGUUGAGCCAGCUCUUCAUCCCCUCAUUUAAUUUUUACUUAUGUGUAUGUGUUUGUAUGUUCUUAUGUAAGCUGCUACCCAUGAAGGCCAAAGAGGGUGUUGGAGCCCCUGAAACUGCAGGUGUGGUAAGCUACCUGCUAUGAGUGCUGUUAAUUGAACUGGGGUCUUCUGUAAAAAGAGCGAGUGUCCUUGUCUGCUGCGCUCUGCGCCCUCUCUCCACCCCCAGCUGC
rnacentral:lncRNA from 1 species